rnacentral:lncRNA from 1 species
GCCAGACUGAAUUAUCAGGAAGACUAGAAAAUGCCACUGGUCAGUCUUGGCAUUGGUGUAAGACCGAGAGGAAAGCUCCUUGAUUGGAUCUUGGCUCUGUUGUGCACGCCUUGCCCAUGUGUUACUGGACCAGAGCAGGCUGAGCUUCACAUUCCUCAUCUGUGAAACAGAGCAUGAGCCUUUUUUGAGAAAACUAAAUGAGAUGGUGAUAUUACUGUAGCCAAGGAAAUGUCUGGCACACGAUGAAAGACCAGGCUUUGUGAAUUCAGUGAUACUUCCUGCACCAUAGACUCUGGAAUCUAAACCAGUUUCUCCCAUGUGGUUCAUGAAUUUCUGCAUAAAAGCUUUGAAAACAUUUCCCAAAAGUCCCCAGGAGCUUUCAUAACCACUAAUUGGCCUCUACUUUUUGGAAGUUUGGUGAUCUAGAAAGUUGGAAUGGAAACUGCCGUCCUGCUAUAAAACACCAAGGAUCCUGGGUAAAAUAGAACACUUUAAAAAUACUGUUGACCUUGCAAGACCUUGAAGAAAAUCCACAUGUUGCAAGAACAAAGAGGAAGGCAAAAUCCAGAGCAUGAAACCUACAAAUUCAGCCACAAACAGUAGCUGCCUUCAGGGAUACCAGGACCCUCCCCUGUGGGUUCUAACUCCCAAGCAAGGACCAGACCACUCAGAUACCUUGUGGACAUUUCGAAAAGGCACUCCACCCCAGUCCUUACCGGUUAAAAGGGGACUCUCAAGAAAGGGGGCCCUCCAUGCUUACUUGCCAGGGACUGUCCUCUCUGUGCUUGGAGUCUUUUCAUGACUAUUAAUAGCACUUGGUUCCCCUUCAGAAAUAUGUAGAUUAGAACGACAAAUUACAUUUCCCUCUGUUCAAAGGCUACUUAGUAAAAGGAUGGGCAAGGAAACAAAAAUAGCUUCCAGCAGCCACAGAGUCAAGGCAUGCCAUUUCCACUUUGUGUUGCACAGGGAUAAAAAAGAUUUUAAGUUAAUAAAAGCAUGCCCUCUAAAAGUUAAUAAAGAUGAGCCCUUCUUCCACAUGGGGUCAAAACACUGUAUGAGUAUCUGUCUGUAUAUAUUGUAUUUAAAAGCUGGAAAACUGAAGAGAGAAAAAUCACUCAUACUUUCUCAAUCCAAAUAAAACAC